AGCAGUUACAGCAUGAAAUAAUUACACUGUAAAAUUUUUCCAGGAUUUCACAAGAUAUAACUGUAAUAUUUCACAGUUAAUUACAUUAUUACCACUUCACAGGCUUUAACUGUGAUAAUUCACAAUAUAAUACCGUAUUUAGACUUUUACUGUGAAAAUAAUGCAGGCGCGGGGCUUUUACAAGAAACUACUGUGAAUGCCGUCUUUUUUGACUUUUUUGAGUGGCAACUGCGGCAGCGUCAUCAGAGCGUCAUCAGAGCUCUCUGAUCUACGUGGUCCCAUUCGGUGGAUUCAGACAGCGCUUCUACAUUGACCGACGAUACAUAAAGUUAUAAGGUAUAUGUUCCCACUUUACUCUUCUGACCGAUGUCUCCAUCCUCGUGAAGUUUCGAGAGGCCCUGGAGAACAAAUUCAACACCAUUCUGAAGUUCUGCCAAGAAGUCAACUGUCAUCAAGGCGUGAAAGAUGUUUUGGCUUGUUUUCAACCGGAGGCUUCAGACAAGGCUACAUGCAUUCUUCUCCUUCUGAUGGCGUACUUCAAAGAGCCCAAGGAUGCUAUUGUGCUUGAUGUUGAUCCUUGUGCCACAGCCACUGAUGUAGAAGGGACUGUGAUGCUACCAAGCACCCCUCGCUUGAUUGUUCAAGGUGACAUAAUGAAACCAAGGGCAUGGAUGCUGUCGUUGGAGGGUCAAGUGGUCAUGGGACCUCACCUUGACUUUACAACUGGUCUGGCUGCUAUUUUUUGAAUUGACAAUUAUAGUGACACUGAAGCAUAUCAACAAAGCUCAAUGACUAAUUUCACUUGCAACAGUGCUUCUUGGGCAUCAACCCAGAGACAGGCACAAAAUCUAAGAGGCAGAGAGGUCACAUGAACCAGCAAGUCUGCACUCUUAUCAGGAAGCUCAUUGACUUCGAAUGGAUGUCAAUCUAAUGUAAGCUGUGUUCCAAUUUAAGAACGGACUAAUGAAACACAGUAUCUGUGUUAAAGGAACACGCUGACUUUUUGUGACUUUAUCUUAUUCCCCGUAUCCCCCAGAGUUCGAUAAGUCUAUACAUACCCUUCUCAUCUCCGUGCUUGCCGUAAAUCUGUCUGAGGCACCCACCGCUAGCCUAGCUUAGCACAAAGACUGGAGGUAAACGGCUCCAGCUAGCAUACUGCUCCCAAUAAGUGACAAAAUAACGCCAACAUUUUCCUAUUUACAUGUUGUGAUUUGUAUAGUUACAGUGACUCUAACCAUCUUCUAACCGUAUACAUACUGGGAACUAUAUUCUCAGAAUAUACUUGGGGAAGUAGCAGUGCUUCGCCUUCUGAGAAUAUAGUUCCCAGUAUGUAUACAGUUAGAAGAUGGUUGUCUCAUAUGACCUUGUUAUUUGUACACACUGUGACUAUACAAAUCACAACAUGUAAAUAGGAAAAUGUUGGCGUUAUUUUGUCACUUAUUGAGAGCAGUAUGCUAGCUGGAGCUGUUUACCUCCAGUCUUUGUGCUAAGCUAGGCUAGCGGUGGGUGCGUCAAACAGAGGCACUCAAGGAGAUGAGAAGGGUAUGUAUGGACUUAUCUAACUCUGGGGGAUACGGUGAAUAAGCUAAAGUCCCAAAAAGUCGGCGUGUUCCUUUAAGCUAGAUGUAGUUAUGCAGUAAGAAGUUUACUGAAGCUAUUAAAGGGUUAGUUCACCCAAAAUUGAAAAAUCUGUCAUUAAUUACAUCCCCUCAUGAUGUUCCAAACACAAGAAUUUUGUUCUACACAAAUUAAGAAAAUUUUAAGCAAUCUGAGAGCUUUCUGAUCCCACCUAUAGACUACUAUGUUAUAACCAUUUUCAAGUCCGAGAAAGGUAGUAAAACCAUCGUUAAAAUAAUAAUGACUACAGUGGUUCAACCUCAAUGUUAUGA